AUGCACGCUGGCGGCGUGCCUAAUACAUGCCAGUAGAACGCUGAAGGAGGAGCUUGCUCUUCUGGAUGAGUUGCGAACGGGUGAGUAACGCGUAGGUAACCUGCCUGGUAGCGGGGGAUAACUAUUGGAAACGAUAGCUAAUACCGCAUGACAACAGUUAUUGCAUGAUAACUGUUUAAAAGGGGCAACUGCUCCACUACCAGAUGGACCUGCGUUGUAUUAGCUAGUUGGUGAGGUAACGGCUCACCAAGGCGACGAUACAUAGCCGACCUGAGAGGGUGAUCGGCCACACUGGGACUGAGACACGGCCCAGACUCCUACGGGAGGCAGCAGUAGGGAAUCUUCGGCAAUGGACGGAAGUCUGACCGAGCAACGCCGCGUGAGUGAAGAAGGUUGUCGGAUCGUAAAGCUCGGUUGUAAGAGAAGAACGAGUGUGAGAGUGGAAAGUUCACACUGUGACGGUAGCUGACCAGAAAGGGACGGCUAACUACGUG
rnacentral:rRNA from 1 species